UCUCUCUCUCUUUUCCCCUUCCUCUAUCUUCCCAUUUUGUCACUCUUGCUCUAGCGUUUAUAUUAUUUAUUUAGUUUAAUUUCCUGUUUAGCUUCAAAGAGGGUCACAUUCAAGAACAUAAUUGGGAAUUUGGGAGAUGGAAUAGAGUAUAGUGCACAGGAAUUGGGGAAGGAAAGGAAGAAAAAUAAAUAUAAAGUAUUGGGUUUGGACCAAUUGGUGAUACCUGAAGAGCUUGAGAACACUAUUGGUUCAUCUCCGGUAGUUCAGCAACAUAAACAGAGAGAAACUGUGGUUAAUAGCAAUUUAGCGAGGACAAUGAAUAGGGUUAAGAACUGGUGGCUGAAUAGAUUACGGUCCAUGACAUGUGUGGUAGAUGAUAGGCAAGGGGUAACUAAUAAUUUAGGACCCAUUCAGGGGGCUAGGGUUCGGAGGGUUAAGGUUCGCCAUUCCAGAAAGCAAUGUAAGGAACUCUCUGCUCUAUUUAUGGGACAAAAUAACCAAGCCCAUGAAGGUUCAAUUUUGACAAUGAAAUUUAGUCUUGAUAGGCAGUUCCUUGCGACUGCUGGUAAAGAUCAUAUUGUUCGUGUUUGGCAAGUGGUGGAAGAUCCAAGAUAAAAUGAAAUUGACAUUCCAAACAUCAAUCCUUCAUGCAUUUAUUUCACAAUGAAUCAUCUUUUUGAGCUUUCACCCGUAAUCGCGUAGAAAGAGAAAUUGGAUAAAUUGAAGAGCCUAAAAAAAAUGGCAGACUCAGCUUUUGUCAUCUUCCCGCCGAGGGUCUUUCGGAUAUUGGAGAAGCCACUAUAUCAGUUCAAUGGGAACGAUGAUGACAUCUUAGAUCUCUCAUGGUCGAAGACUAAUAUGGCCAUUUUCAGCUAGAUGCUCGGAUAGAUUUACACAGCAAGAAAAAGGCACCAUGCAAAAGGAUAAUUGGCUUCCAGGUGACACCAUUGUCUUGGGCUGAGUGGAUUGUUGUUUUGUAUCUUUC